UUAAAAUACGCAACCAACCGUCAUUGAACCGUCCAAUCAGAUCAAAGGAGUAAUCGUUGUAGAUCGUGCGUUAUCGAUGAUGUUCGGUACCUGGAGAAAAUUGACAAUUGACAAGAGAAUUAAUUGUUUAUUAUUUAUUAUUUUUGACUUUUUAGUUCGUUUAAUUUAAUAAUUACUAAAACCAGUAGUUCGAAAGAUAUAUUUAAAAAUAAAAGAUAAAAAUCCAAAAAAUUAAUUAUCUAUUAACGUGGAUUUGGACGACAAUAGGUUUUUAGUUUGUGAUGUUUCAUGUGAUGAUCAUUUUCAUGUUCAUCGUCUUUGAAUUGACAUGAGGAUAUCUAUGGAAAAGUAACUAAUCUGAAAGUAAGCCAACAUAUCGUUUGUCCUUUGUGUGCUAAAGAAAAGAUUUUCUUUUCGCAUCGUGAGGAAGUAUUACAUCAAUUAAAAAAUGUUAGGAAGUUGAUUACUUGUCAUGGAAAAGUAUACCAAUGGAAAUUAUUUGUUAAAGAAGUAUAAUUCUAAGGGUUUUAAGAAUAAAUUGGUUGAACCCAAAAUCUGGAGGAAGUACCUAUAUCCAUACACAGAAUAUGCCCAUUAAGAAUACUAGUCCAAAUUUGCUUUAAUGGAACGAUUAGGGCCCGAUAUAUUUGAAACUCAUGUUGGACAUAGUAUUGAGUUGGGUAGAAUAUUAUUCUACGUUAAGUGAGGAUAUCAGAUACCUAUUAUUGUACUGUAUUUUAAUAUAUACAUUAGAAUUGUUGGUUUUUU